rnacentral:rRNA from 1 species
CAAACCGACACAGGUGGGUGAGGAGAGUAUCCUAAGGCCAGCGAGAGAACUGUUGUUAAGGAACUCGGCAAAAUGACCCCGUAACUUAGGGAUAAGGGGUGCCACCAUCAGGUGGCCGCAGAGAAUAGGCCCAAGCGACUGUUUACCAAAAACAUAGGUUUCUGCUAAGUCGCAAGACGAUGUAUAGGAGCUGACGCCUGCCCGGUGCUGGAAGGUUAAGGGGAUCUGUUAGAGCAAUCGAAGCAGUGAACUUAAGCCCCAGUAAACGGCGGCCGUAACUAUAACGGUCCUAAGGUAGCGAAAUUCCUUGUCGGGUAAGUUCCGACCCGCACGAAAGGCGUAACGAUUUGGGCACUGUCUCAACAACAGACUCGGUGAAAUUGUAAUUCCGGUGAAGAUGCCGGAUACCUGCGACAGGACGGAAAGACCCCAUGGAGCUUUACUGUAGCUUGACAUUGGGUCUUGGUACUACAUGUACAGGAUAGGUGGGAGGCUUUGAAACCAGGACGCCAGUUUUGGCGGAGCCAUCCUUGGGAUACCACCCUUGUAGUACUGGGACUCUAACCAUAGGCCAUGAAUCUGGUCUUGGGACACUGUCAGGUGGGCAGUUUGACUGGGGCGGUCGCCUCCCAAAAGGUAACGGAGGCGCUCAAAGGUUCUCUCAGUACGGUCGGAAAUCGUACGUAGAGUGUAAAGGCAAAAGAGAGCUUGAUUGCAAGACAUACAGGUCGAGCAAGGAUGAAAAUCGGACUUAGUGAUCCGGUGGUUCUGCGUGGAAGGGCCAUCGCUCAACGGAUAAAAGCUACCCUGGGGAUAACAGGCUUAUCUCCCCCAAGAGUCCACAUCGACGGGGAGGUUUGGCACCUCGAUGUCGGCUCAUCA